CAUUGAGUAGAAAGGUCGACGACAGCAGAUAGCGAAAAAAGAAGAACAAAACUAAGAGGAAGUUACUGUUGGCUAGUGACGUCACAUCAGUUAGAACGAAGACGGCGCAGACAUGCUAAGAACUGCUGGAACGAAGUCAGACCCUGACUCAUCCAGACCUCCUGACUGAGCUGCUCCUCCACUGCACAUGUGAAUUAAACUAAAGCAGAUGUCCAGCACCUCACUGGGCUCUGGAGGAGAGGGUCAUGUGACAUGUCAGGGGUCACAAGAUGUCUGUACAUGGAGCUGCAUGGAACACAGCUGAAAUGCACAGCACUAACCCUGCUGCUGCGCCUCAUCCUCCUGUAGAGGAUCAAGAAGAUGAAUGUUGUCUACAGAAGAUGAAGCAGCGACAAGAAA